rnacentral:rRNA from 1 species
UACGGGGGGGGGCAAGCGUUGUUCGGAAUUACUGGGCGUAAAGGGCUCGUAGGCGGCCAACUAAGUCGGAUGUGAAAUCCCCAGGCUUAACCUGGGAACUGCAUCCGAUACUGGAUGGCUUGAAUCCGGGAGAGGGAUGCAGAAUUCCUGGUGUAGCGGUGAAAUGCGUAGAUAUCAGGAGGAACACCGGUGGCGAAGGCGGGUCUCUGGGCCGAUACUGACGCUGAGGAGCGAAAGCGUGGGGAGCAAACAGG